UUACCAUCACCAUCAUCACCAUCACCAUCAUCACCAUCAUCUCCAUCACCAAGAAAUGGAUCAGGUAAUCUGGUGUAUUCUGGUGCUGGUCUGGUUCUUGGGCUUCUACUUCUGGGUCUGCUGCUCUUCAUUUUCUUCAAACAGAGACGAGACAGAGACAAGAGCUUACUAACAUCCACACGCCCCGUCAGAACAUUGGUUCCGGGUUCUACGACAGCCAACCAGGACCCAGACACAGGCAUCAUCACCAACCCCACCUACUCCACAGAGACCAAUCAGAACCUGGAUACACAUGACAAAAUCACUGACCACGCCACAUCAACCAACCAGCAUUCAGAAGACAUCUACAGUUUGAUCAAUGAU